rnacentral:rRNA from 1 species
UACGGAGGGGCUAGCGUUGUUCGGAAUUACUGGGCGUAAAGGGCGGGUAGGCGGCCACCGCAAGUCAGUUGUGAAAUCUCCGGGCUUAACCCGGAAAGGUCAACUGAUACUGCGGGGCUAGAGUGCAGAAGGGGCAACUGGAAUUCUCGGUGUAGCGGUGAAAUGCGUAGAUAUCGAGAGGAACACCGUGGCGAAGGCGGGUCUCUGGGCAACACUGACGCUGAGACGAAAGCGUGGGGAGCGAACAGGG